rnacentral:lncRNA from 1 species
GCAUCUCCAACAGUUUGUUGGUUAGGUUGUUGGUAAAAUAUGCCAUGUCAUCAACCAACACCUUAACAUACAACUACUUCAAUGGGUUGUAUCUAGUUUGCCCAAUAAGAUGUGAUGUAAUAAAUAAGGUGCUCUCUCAUUCUACAUUAGAGCUUGUGCAAGGGUGUUGGUUAAUUUACAUACAACCUUGCUCUCUUUCCUCAUUUAUUGCAUGACACAUCAUCAAAAAUCAUAUGUGUCAAAAUUACCAACAACUAUCUUACAACCAUUGGAGAUGCCCUUAC